UACGUAGGGGGCAAGCGUUGUCCGGAUUUAUUGGGCGUAAAGAGCGUGUAGGCGGCCAAGCAGGUCCGCUGUGAAAACUCGAGGCUCAACCUCGAGACGUCGGUGGAAACCAUUUGGCUAGAGUCCGGAAGAGGAGAGUGGAAUUCCUGGUGUAGCGGUGAAAUGCGCAGAUAUCAGGAAGAACACCCGUGGCUAAGGCGGCUCUCUAGUACGGUACUGACGCUGAGACGCGAAAGCGUGGGGAGCGAAGCAGG
rnacentral:rRNA from 1 species